CAGUAGCCGCGGUAAUACGGAGGGUGCAAGCGUUAAUCGGAAUUACUGGGCGUAAAGCGCACGCAGGCGGUCUGUCAAGUCAGAUGUGAAGUCCCCGGGCUUAACCUGGGAACUGCAUUUGAAACUGGCAGGCUAGAGUCUUGUAGAGGGGGGUAGAAUUCCAGGUGUAGCGGUGAAAUGCGUAGAGAUCUGGAGGAAUACCGGUGGCGAAGGCGGCCCCCUGGACAAAGACUGACGCUCAGGUGCGAAAGCGUGGGGAGCAAACAGGAUUAGAUACCCCAGUAGUCCCUGUCUCUUAUAC
rnacentral:rRNA from 1 species